AAUUGGUGCANCUCUUCGGGUGAAAAGCGGCGGACGGGUGAGUAAUGUCUGGGAAACUGCCUGAUGGAGGGGGAUAACUACUGGAAACGGUAGCUAAUACCGCAUAACGUCUUCGGACCAAAGAGGGGGACCUUCGGGCCUCUUGCCAUCAGAUGUGCCCAGAUGGGAUUAGCUAGUAGGUGAGGUAAUGGGUCACCUAGGCGACGAUCCCUAGCUGGUCUGAGAGGAUGACCAGCCACACUGGAACUGAGACACGGUCCAGACUCCUACGGGAGGCAGCAGUGGGGAAUAUUGCACAAUGGGCGCAAGCCUGAUGCAGCCAUGCCGCGUGUGUGAAGAAAGCCUUCGGGUUGUAAAGCACUUUCACCGGGGAGGAAGGCGGUGAGAUUAAUACUCUCAUCGAUUGACGUUACCCGCAGAAAAAGCACCGGCUAACUCCGUGCCAGCAGCCGCGGUAAUACGGAGGGUGCAAGCGUUAAUCGGAAUGACUGGGCGUAAAGCGCACGCAGGCGGUUUGUUAAGUCAGAUGUGAAAUCCCCGAGCUUAACUUGGGAACUGCAUUUGAAACUGGCAAGCUAGAGUCUUGUAAAGGGGGGUAGAAUUCCCGGUGUAUCGCUGAAAUGCGUAGAGAUCUGGAGGAAUACCGGUGGCGAAAGCGGCCCCCUGAACAAAGACUGACGCUCAAGUGCGAAAGCGUGGGGAGCAAACAGGAUUAUAUAC
rnacentral:rRNA from 1 species